rnacentral:rRNA from 1 species
AGAGUUUGAUCCUGGCUCAGGAUGAACGCUAGCGGCAGGCCUAAUACAUGCAAGUCGAACGGCAAGUUGAGUAGCAAUACUUGACCUAGAGUGACGUACGGGUGCGUAACACGUAUGCAACCUACCCAAAACAGGAGUAUAGCUCGGGGAAACUCGAAUUAACCCUCCAUAAGAUAGUAGCAGAGCAUUCUGCAGCUAUUAAAACUCAGGUGGUUUUGGAUGGGCAUGCGUUUGAUUAGCUAGUUGGUAGUGUAACGGACUACCAAGGCGAUGAUCAAUAGGGGAACUGAGAGGUUGAUCCCCCACACUGGCACUGAGAUACGGGCCAGACUCCUACGGGAGGCAGCAGUAGGGAAUAUUGGUCAAUGGAUGCAAGUCUGAACCAGCUAUGCCGCGUGCAGGAAGAAGGCCUUCUGGGUUGUAAACUGCUUUUGUCAGGGGAUAAAAAAUUCCUUGCGAGGAAUAUUGAAGGUACCUGGCGAAUAAGCCACGGCUAACUACGUGCCAGCAGCCGCGGUAAUACGUAGGUGGCGAGCGUUGUCCGGAUUUAUUGGGUUUAAAGGGUGCGUAGGCGGUCCUAUAAGUCAGUGGUGAAAUAUCUCAGCUCAACUGAGAGGGUGCCAUUGAUACUGUAGGACUCGAGUGAAUUUGAGGUAGGCGGAAUUGACGGUGUAGCGGUGAAAUGCUUAGAUAUCGUCAAGAACACCGAUAGUGAAGACAGCUUACCAAGCUUCAACUGACGCUGAGGCACGAAAGUGUGGGGAUCAAACAGGAUUAGAUACCCUGGUAGUCCACACUGUAAACGUUGAUUACUCGCUGUUGGCGAUACACAGCCAGCGGCUAAGCGCAAGCGAUAAGUAAUCCACCUGGGGAGUACGCCGGCAACGGUGAAACUCAAAGGAAUUGACGGGGGUCCGCACAAGCGGUGGAGCAUGUGGUUAAUUCGAUGAUACGCGAGGAACCUUACCUGGACUAGAAUGCCCUUGACCGAUCCAGAGAUGGAUUUUUCCGCAAGGACAAGGAGCAAGGUGCUGCAUGGCCGUCGUCAGCUCGUGCCGUGAGGUGUUGGGUUAAGUCCCGCAACGAGCGCAACCCUUAUCUUUAGUUGCCAGCACGUAAUGGUGGGGACUCUAAAGGGACUGCCUGCGCAAGCAGAGAGGAAGGAGGGGAUGACGUCAGGUCAUCAUGGCCCUUACGUCCAGGGCUACACACGUGCUACAAUGGCGUAUACAAAGUGUUGCAAGCCAGCGAUGGUGAGCCAAUCACAAAAAAAAAGAAGAUAGAGCGACAGGCAAGUCUAGUACGGAAUCACCGGAUCUUCAUCUUUGCCCCCCUAGAUCGGAAGAGCACACGUCUGAACUCCAGUCACAUCUCGUAUGCCGUCUUCUGCU